CCAUUCAUUGGUCUUGGACUCUUGGUUUCCUUUUUAAUUUCUCUUUCCUGUUGAUUGUGCAUGAGGCCAUCCCCAGUGGAGCUACUUUUGCAUGUAAUGGACAAGUUUCAUGUGGAAGCCAACAAACAAGCUUAAUUAAGAAAAUCAAUGUGGGAGAAACUUUGAAUGGUAAAAGACUGGGUUUUAAAACCAAUAUACUGGAGACAGAGUUUUACAACUACACAUGGCACGUACCAAGUUUGUAACAGAAAGUGAGGGAGCCAUAUGGUUUCAACCCAUGUUAUUUGCAUAGCUUUUCUGGGCUCAAAGGAGCCUAUGUUUUCUGAUAGCCUAUAUCUCCAUAGCGACAACAAAGGAGUCAAAAUUUACUUGCUCGUGCCUUCUAAAAUUUUGGCAUAAAAUUAUUGUUGAAAUUGUGGAUGGGUCUACUGCUGAGCAGGAGUCAACAAAGGUGCAAUGUAUUCCAGCCAAUACAAGAACUACCCAAAGUUACCAUUGACUCCUAAAACCUAAGCUAGGCCCCGAAACCAU